CCCGGUGAUCUAGCCAUGGGCAGGUUGAAGGUUGGGUAACACUAACUGGAGGACCGAACCGACUAAUGUUGAAAAAUUAGCGGAUGACUUGUGGCUGGGGGGGAAAGGCCAAUCAAACCGGGAGAUAGCUGGUUCUCCCCGAAAGCUAUUUAGGUAGCGCCUCGUGAACUCAUCUUCGGGGGUAGAGCACUGUUUCGGCUAGGGGGUCAUCCCGACUUACCAACCCGAUGCAAACUACGAAUACCGAAGAAUGUUAUCACGGGAGACACACGGCGGGUGCUAACGUCCGUCGUGAAGAGGGAAACAACCCAGACCGCCAGCUAAGGUCCCAAAGUCAUGGUUAAGUGGGAAACGAUGUGGGAAGGCACAGACAGCCAGGAUGUUGGCUUAGAAGCAGCCAUCAUUUAAAGAAAGCGUAAUAGCUCACUGGUCGAGUCGGCCUGCGCGGAAGAUGUAACGGGGCUAAACCAUGCACCGAAGCUGCGGCAGCGACACUAUGUGUUGUUGGGUAGGGGAGCGUUCUGUAAGCCUGCGAAGGUGU
rnacentral:rRNA from 1 species